rnacentral:rRNA from 1 species
UACGUAGGGCGCAAGCGUUGUCCGGAAUUAUUGGGCGUAAAGAGCUCGUAGGCGGCCUGUUGCGUCCGCUGUGAAAUCCCGGGGCUUAACCCCGGGCUUGCAGUGGAUACGGGCAGGCUGGAGGCAGGCAGGGGAGAACGGAAUUCCCGGUGUAGCGGUGAAAUGCGCAGAUAUCGGGAGGAACACCGGUGGCGAAGGCGGGUCUCUGGGCAGUAACUGACGCUGAGGAGCGAAAGCGUGGGGAGCGAACAGG